CGCGCAGGCGGAUCAGCAAGUCAGAUGUGAAAUCUCAGGGCUCAACCCUGAAACUGCGUCUGAAACUGCUAGUCUAGAAUGUCGGAGGGGGCAGGGGAAUUUCACGUGUAGGGGUAAAAUCCGUAGAGAUGUGAAGGAACACCGGAGGCGAAGGCGCCUGCCUGGACGAUACUUGACGCUGAGGCGCGAAAGCGUGGGGAGCAAACA
rnacentral:rRNA from 1 species